rnacentral:tRNA from 1 species
GGGCGAGUAGCGAAGCGGCCAAACGCGGCAGACUGUAAAUCUGUUCCUUCGGGUUCGGUGGUUCGAAUCCACCCCCGCCCACCA